UACGUAGGGUGCAAGCGUUAAUCGGAAUUACUGGGCGUAAAGUGUGCGCAGGCGGCAGAGCAAGUCGAGUGUGAAAGCCCCGAGCUUAACUUGGGAAUUGCGCUCGAAACUACUUUGCUGGAGUGUGGCAGAGGAAGGUGGAAUUCCAGGUGUAGCGGUGAAAUGCGUAGAGAUCUGGAGGAACACCGAUGGCGAAGGCAGCCUUCUGGGCCAACACUGACGCUCAUGCAUGAAAGCGUGGGGAGCAAACAGG
rnacentral:rRNA from 1 species